CCUUAAUCGCUUGUGCAGUGCUUAGUCUUAUGAGUCUGAGCAGUCUGAAAGCAUUUGUACCCAUUAGGAAAUGGUACAUCAUCAGCAUCCAAUCUUCUUCUGUGGCCAUUUAAUGGACACAUGUAGUGCUGAAUACCUAAGCAGCAGACCCUAAGAAAAGGAGGCAGUCCAUCUGCAACUCCCUCGUCUUGGAUGUUAUUUCUCAUGAUCUAUUGAUACUUCCCUGGGUUUGACUGGUUCUUCCUUGAUCCCAUCACAAGCAGUGGAAUUCAGUUUGCAAAUGAUGAAAAGUGAGUACUGUGGGAGAGAAUUUAGAAGAACCCCAACAACCCUCAGAAUAAGCGUCUUGAGUCAUGUUAACCAAGGACGGUGGGAUUCUGGACAUGUA
ensembl:lncRNA